UGCUCUGUGUGAACGAAUCGCCUAGAGGGUACGAGCCCGCCAGUGGCAGGUCUCUGAGGUCGUUGCCAUGACUACGACCUUUCCGAGACAGCCGCUGCCAUUUUGGCUCCGGUUUUCCCGUGACUGUCGCUGGAGUGCGGUGUGUGUCUUCGCCGAAACUUUGCAUUUCAAAAUAAACAGACUGAUAAACAAAAUACAUGUAAAGGCCAAUUAUUGGACAUCUGUACUCGGGACUGAGUUCUCUCUUCAUAUAAAUGAACCAGAAAUGACACACCCUUGAAAGAAACUAAAGCGAAACAUCCAAUAAACUAGAGUGGCCAAUGGAUGCCCCUUUACACUGAAAGGCCGCUUUUUUGAGUCCAUCUGCCCUUCACAAAUUAUUGAUGUUAAGUUACUGACAGCCUCGCAUGCUUAGACAAUGCCGUUUUAAGACACAGGUUGCCAGGGACUGGCAUACUGUGCACAUGUGCAAUUCAGGGGAAGAAUGGGCAAGACGAAAGACUUAAGUGCCUUUGAACGUGGUAUGGUAGUGGGUGCCAGAUGUGCUGGCAUGAGUGUAUCAGAAACCUCAAACCUUUUGGGGUUUUCACGUACAACAGUGUCACGAGUGUAUCGAGAAUGGGCUGCCACUCAAAAAACAUCCAGUCAACGGUGGACUUGUGGUCGGAAGCAGACUGUGGAUAAAACGGGCAAAGAGAGGCUGACACAACUUGUGCAAAGUAACAGGGAGGCUACAAUCCGCCAGUUAACAGCCGAGUACAACAGUGGAGCUAAAAGAGUGAUAUCAGAACGUACCACUCGUCGUACCCUGGCACAGAUGGGAUAUACAAAAGUUAGCACACUAUGUCGGAAAUAGAUGCUUUCAGAAUAAAUUAAUCAAGGUACUUGUACAAACGACAAUAACCGUAUAUUUAAACACACAGGAAAAGUAAAGGAUGGCACAUAAAAUACAAAAAGAAAAAUUGAACACAAUUGCUACGCUGUCUUUUGCAUAGAAUGGAAUCCUCAUAUACAGUAUAAAAUACCACAAUCAUAAAUGUGGACAGUGGCACCGUGAAAAGAACACCACUGAUAGUGACAGUGUGAAAGCAAUAAAGGUACUGGAAUGUAAUAAAUUUAUAUUUCUGAAAAUUCAAGAUGAGCCACCAUCAGGCCAUUCGUUGUUUUUAGACCCACAAAAUUUUAUUUUAGAGUCCUAGGAGGUCGGAGUCAAUUCUGGCAAAACUGAGUACAUGGCAGGACAAAUUUAUACACCUGCUCAUAUCAUAUCCAGUUCAUAAUAUCUGUUUGCUGAAAUGUAAUCAGUAAAGAGUUCAAUGCACAGGAUUUGUCAAAUGUAAUAUAUAUAUAUAUAUAUAUAUAUAUAUAUAUAUAUAUAUAAAAUGUAUGUGUGUGUAUAUGUAUAUAUAUAUAUAUAUAUAUAAAUACAGGAAAAAUUAAAACUGAGUGAGUUGUGCAAAAAGUUGGACAUUAAUAAUUAGGAAUAAUGAAAGUGAAAUCUUAGUAAAAGAAAAAAGACUGAAUACAUGCAGAGAACAUAUAAACAUUCAGUCAAAAAGCAAAUUUUAAUUGAAAUCAUUUUAAACAGCAUAAUAAGAAAUAAAAAAUCUGUGUAUAUUAGGAACUUCCAGUGUGUUCACCUUGAAGUAAGUCAGCCAAUACUUCUGUGCAGUACAUCUGCAGCCCCUUUAGAGGUGUGGUCACCGCCCUCACAACUCUUCUGAUUGGCUGGGACAUCAUGUGUUGUUUUUUUUUUUUUUUUUAAAACAUACACAGCCCCAUAAAAAUGGUGGUGACAAUGACGGAGGUAUCUUAUGGUUAUUCAGAACUUCACAAUUGUCAUUUUCAGUCUUAAGAGACAAAGAUGUGCUGGAAUUAUUUUAGGUCACCUCUGUGUUUCAAGCUGCCGUCUUGUUAACGCUCUUGCUAUUGACCACAUUGCAGUGUGUCUUUCAGCUCACCUUUCUUUUAAGAAUGUUUAAUUUUUAGAAUACCAAUGGAAACAAUGCUGGAUUGAUCACCAACUUUCUAGAUGCUUGGUUACACUCAUUAAACUAUGAGAAUUUGUUUGA